rnacentral:rRNA from 1 species
AUAACGGUCCUAAGGUAGCGAAAUUCCUUGUCGGGUAAGUUCCGACCCGCACGAAAGGCGUAAUGAUUUGAGCACUGUCUCGACAAUGCAUCCGGUGAAAUUGAAGUACCAGUGAAGAUGCUGGUUACCUGCGCCAGGACGGAAAGACCCCAUGGAGCUUUACUCCAGUUUGAUACUGGGAUUCGGUACUGCACGUACAGGAUAGGUGGGAGACUUAGAACUAUGGACGCCAGUCUGUAGGGAGUCGCUGUUGGGAUACCACCCCUGUAGUACUGGGUUUCUAACCAUCUGCCGUGACCCGGCAGUGGGACAAUGUCAGGCGGGGAGUUUGACUGGGGCGGUCGCCUCCGAAAGGGUAUCGGAGGCGCUCAAAGGUUCCCUCAGAAUGGUUGGAAACCAUUCGAAGAGUGCAAAGGCAGAAGGGAGCUUGACUGCGACACCGACGGGUGGAGCAGGUACGAAAGUAGGACUUAGUGAUCCGGUGGUAUAAAGUGGGAUUGCCAUCGCUCAACGGAUAAAAGCUACCCUGGGGAUAACAGGCUUAUCACUCCCAAGAGUUCACAUCGACGGAGUGGUUUGGCACCUCGAUGUCGGCUCAUCGCAUCCUGGGGCUGUAGCAGGUCCCAAGGGUUGGGCUGUUCGCCCAUUAAAGCGGUACGCGAGCUGGGUUCAGAACGUCGUGAGACAGUUCGGUCCCUAUCCGGCGCGGGCGGAGGAUAUUUGAGAGGAGCUGUCCUUAGUACGAGAGGACCGGGAUGGACGGACCACUGGUGUAUCUGUUGUCGACCAACGGCAUGGCAGAGUAGCCAAGUCUGGAAGGGAUAAACGCUGAAGGCAUCUAAGCGUGAAGCCCCCCUCAAGAUGAGAUAUCCCUCCUUCGGGAGUAAGACCCCUUGAAGACUACAAGGUAGAUAGGGCAGAGGUGGAAGUGUGGCAACACAUGGAGCUGACUGUUACUAAUAGGUCGAGGGCUUGAUUAA